UCGUUCCUACUUAAGGAUGGAGUUUAGUGCUGCCAAUGGUCAGAGGCAGUACUACAACAGCGGCCGCACGCGUUAGCGGAGCGAAGCCUGCAGGACAAGAAGCUCAAAGCUGCUGCCACCCUGCAGAAACCUCUGAGGAAUCCUGGGAAUGGGGAUCAGCAGCAGGUCUCAUCCAACAGCUGGCACAGAGUUAUCGCUAAGAAAUAAGAGCUGUAAUCUCUCUAACUCCUUAUUCCCUAGCCUACAUUCAGUUUGUUAUGACCAGGUCAUAGAGGUCCAAAGGGAAAAUGUCCAACAUCACGUUAGUCAGCUGACGGCCUACAUAUUUCAGCAUGUUUCUGAAAGCACAGCCUCCAUCUUUAUCACAAACAACAAACUGAAACAUGUGCUAAAAGAACAAACAGUGAACCCGCAGCAUCAGAAGGAGCAUCCUCACACACACUCUCUGGGUACAGUUCCCAUGGACAAACCCGUAAACGAAGCCCACACCCCUUAGGCUGUUCUGUCUCACCCCAUUUUUGGAGAA